UGAGGAAUAUUGGGCAAUGGACGCAAGUCUGACCCAGCAACGCCGCGUGGGGGAAGAAGGUCGUAAGAUCGUAAACCCCUUUUCUAAAGGAUGAACGUCCACUAUUUGCAAAGGUAGUGGCUUGACCGUACUUUGGGAAUAAGCCCCGGCUAACUACGUGCCAGCAGCCGCGGUAAUACGUAGGGGGCGAGCGUUGUCCGGAUUUACUGGGUGUAAAGGGAGCGCAGGCGGUCUUGUAAGUCAGAGGUGAAAUCCUACAGCUUAACUGUAGAACUGCCUUUGAUACUGUGAGACUUGAGUACUAGAGAGAGAGACGGAAUUCCAGGUGUAGUGGUGAAAUACGUAGAUAUCUGGAAGAACACCAGAGGCGAAGGCGGUCUCUUGGCUAGUAACUGACGCUGAGGCUCGAAAGCGUGGGGAGCGAACAGGAUUAGAUACCCCCGUAGUCC
rnacentral:rRNA from 1 species